GAUGAACGCUGGCGGCGUGCCUAAUACAUGCAAGUCGAGCGAACAGACGAGGAGCUUGCUCCUCUGACGUUAGCGGCGGACGGGUGAGUAACACGUGGAUAACCUACCUAUAAGACUGGGAUAACUUCGGGAAACCGGAGCUAAUACCGGAUAAUAUAUUGAACCGCAUGGUUCAAUAGUGAAAGACGGUUUUGCUGUCACUUAUAGAUGGAUCCGCGCCGCAUUAGCUAGUUGGUAAGGUAACGGCUUACCAAGGCAACGAUGCGUAGCCGACCUGAGAGUGGUGGUCGCCCACAGUGCAGCUCAGCCCCGGCCCGGCCUCCUCCGGGGGCCAGCGGGGGGGAUCCUUCCGCAAGGGGCGAAGGUUGGACGGAUCACCGCCGCGGGAUUAAUAAAGGUUUUGGGAUCUAAAAACUUUUUUUUGGGGGAAAAAAAAAUGUGUAAGUAACUAUGCCCUUCUGCCCGGUCCCUAAUAGAACCCCCACCCCUACCUCCGUC
rnacentral:rRNA from 1 species